rnacentral:rRNA from 1 species
UACAGAGGGUGCAAGCGUUAAUCGGAAUUACUGGGCGUAAAGCGUGCGCAGGCGGUUCGUCGUGUCCGAUGUGAAAGCCCCGGGCUCAACCUGGGAAUGGCAUUGGAAACUGGCGGGCUUGAGUGUGGCAGAGGGGGGUGGAAUUCCGCGUGUAGCAGCGAAAUGCGUAGAGAUGCGGAGGAACGCCGAUGGCGAAGGCAGCCCCCUGGGCUAACACUGACGCUCAGGCACGAAAGCGUGGGGAGCAAACAGG